UCCUGCCUUGAUGGUAAAGGACUGAACCUC
rnacentral:piRNA from 1 species